GCCAGAAAUGGUGGUGCACACCUGUAAUCCCAGCUGCUUGGGAGGCUGAGGCAGGAGGAUUGCCAGUUCAAAGGUAGCCUCAGCAAGUGAGACCUGUCUCAGACCUCUUAGUGAGACCCUGUCUCAA
rnacentral:sRNA from 1 species